rnacentral:misc_RNA from 1 species
AACCUUAUGGACCUGCGGGCGUAUACCUGCGGAGGGAUCAUUACAAGUGACCCCGGUCUAACCACCGGGAUGUUCAUAACCCUUUGUUGUCCGACUCUGUUGCCUCCGGGGCGACCCUGCCUUCGGGCGGGGGCUCCGGGUGGACACUUCAAACUCUUGCGUGACUUUGCAGUCUGAGUAAACUUAAUUAAUAAAUUAAAACUUUCAACAAUGGAUCU